GAUACACAAUUUGCAUAGCUCAAAUUGCAUAUCUUAUUUCGACCUACCGGUGCAGUGUAGAUGCACCCUAGGUGUAAUUCGCAUUCCCUCCACCAAAGUCUAAAUGAAUGGGCUUUUGCACAGGGGACCAGUGCAGGAGUAGACAGAAGAUGGAAUUUAUCCUUGCGACAGGCUCACCCUGCUAAAUGCUGAGCACGCUUGCCCCCAUCAAGCCAAGCAAUUAAGCACAUGCCUAGAAUUAGGCACUUGAGUAUUAACAUGAGAAAUUGAUGAGGUUACUUGCAUACUUAAAAUCAAGCACGUGCUUAAGUGUUUGUCUGAAUCACCUCUAGAGUGUUCAGUAUCUCACAGGAUGAAGCCCCAAGCCAGCGCACUCAGCUUGUGGCCACCGAGGAACUGUCCUAGCCACUGAAGUCCAUUGUGCCUCAGAAGGUUUAGGACUGGUCAAUCCAUGAAAUCGAUGGAUUUUCUAGCCAUGCUAAUCCUCUACCCUGCAGACAGCUUCCCCCAAUACUCCCAUGGAGUGAACCAUUGUAGAGUUGGCUCAAGGACAAGAAGGCGGUUCCAUAAGCUCUGUCUACAGAUUUUCAAUGUAGAGGGAAAUUUUGGACCCAUCAAGCCUUUUGCAACCAAGAGCAUUUCUCCCUUAGCCUAGAGAGCAUGGAGAAAUACAAUAAGUUAAUCAAAUAUACUAUUCACACAAUAAUGAGGCUUUACAGCAUUUUGCUCUUCCUCGGGUGGGUUUUUACUGUAAUUGAUUCAACAGACAUUUGUAAAGCAGCCCAUUAGCAGACUUCACAGUGACUUUGAAAUGCAUUGCAAGUUUAAAGCCAAAAGUGAGGGAAGUUGGAUGCUACAGACAGAGGUGUAAAUAAAGAACAUGGAUAUGCCCCAAUAUAUUUGCUAAUCCCGAUUUUGCUCUUAUUUUCCCAUAUUUCUCAAUUACUGCAUGUUUUGAAUUCAGUCAGUCUCUACGCCUGUUAGCUGAGGAGCAAUAUUCUUAGCACUACAUUAAUAACCCAGCUAUGGAUCCACAAGCAAAAAAGAAGACAUGGGGGACUCAUAUUUGUGCUGGGGUAUUGGCCAGCGGCAUAAUCUACUGUGAAAUAACAUGCAUGCCCCUUGAAUUCAUCACAGCUACACAAAGCCAUUUAUUGUAUAACACAUACUCAAAUCUUGGGCUAUAUUACAACAUCAGUUUAACUGUUUAAGCAUAGUUUGCUCUUAAAAUCAAUGGGGAGUCCAUCUCAGAAACUGGUGGCAUAGUAUGAGCCCUUUAUUAGGAUGGUGAAAUAUAGCUUUCAAAAUGUAGUCAAUUAAAAUCUGGAAAAAUACUCAAGUCACCAUUCUGAAAUGCUGAAAAUAUGAGUAUGAGCUACAGAGCAUGGACGAUAGUGGGAAACCAAUUCAGAAUCUGAUCAGGCCCUUCUUACUCCUUGAAGUAAAGCAUAUGGUCACUUUGAGCAAUUUCUAUAUAAAUUAACAUACAUUUUGCAUGCUAGUUUUCUGUAUAAUUUAAGACUACACUACAAGAUAGGAGAAACGUGUGUACACAGUCUAUCGUUUAUAAAUGUGCCAUCUGAUAAAAAAGGUAAUUAAAAUUAUACAUGUUUUUUUGUUUUUGUUUUUAAGCAAUGUAUUCUUGCAAAUGUAUUAAUCUUUGCUUUAUAAAGUAUUUCAGAAUUUUUAAAAGUGUGCCAGGAUGAAUGUCUGAAACCAAAUUGUUUAAAGGUAAACCUGUAUAGAGGAAAUGGACUGUUGCUUCAAUAAAUCAAUGUUUAUUGUUAGUAAA